GUAACUGUCAUCUUGACUGGUGAUAGUCACUAUUCUGACGGCUGUCCUGCACGAAUUACUCCUUUUAUCCUUGGAGAAAGGUCACUAGAGUUCAUGAGGACUAUCUACAUAUAUAGGUGUCGCACAUGUUAUGUCUAGAUGUCCCACAUACUGGAGGAAAUGGACUGUGGCGACAACUAGGAAGGUCUGCAGUUUUGUCUGCCUUGAAAGGGGUCAUAAGUGUACAGCAAUAUCCCAGCCUAGAGAGAGCAAGCGAUUUGAAGAGAAUCAUCAUUGAAUUGGCAUCCCUUGGUUUGAAGGUUCUCAUUAUCCAUCCUAUCAUUUUCCUAGCAAAUGUGAUAGAAACAUUGUUGUGGUCUUUGAAAGUGAGUUUCUCUGAUAUUAUCACUCCCAGGUCCUUCACAUUAGUUUUCGCUCAAUAGUGUGGUUGUAAUUUCGUCUUAUACUCCGAUCCAGUUUUAAUUUCGUAGAGUUUUCCAUAGUGGAGUAAUUGAUAUUUGUCUUCAUUGAACUUCAUAUUAUUUUCUUUAGCCCAUUUAAAGUCUUAGAUAAUGUUCACUUGGAGAUCUGCAGUGUCCUCAGUGGAUGACACUCAUGCAAAUUCUGGUGUCAUCAGCAAAGGAGGACACGGUAUUCGUCCUCAUAUCUGUCUGUGUCAAAUAUGAGGAUGAGGAAAAUGAGGGGAGCGAGUACUGUACCUUCUAGAAGAGAGCUUUUCACUGUAGCCGCCUCUCUGACUACUAUUUUUAUUAUUACUCUUUUUUGUUCUAUUUGUAGGAAGUUAUUGAUCAAUCCACCCACUUUUCCUGUUAUUCCUUUAACACGCAUUUUGUGUGCUAUUACACCAUGACCGCACUUGUCGAAGGCUUUUGCAAAGUCUGUGUAUACCACAUCUGCAUUUUGUUUAUUCUCCAGUGCAUCCAGGACCAUGUCAUAAUGGUCCAGUAAUUGUGAGAUGCAGGAGCGACCUGCUUUAAACCCAUGCUGACCUGAGUUGUGCAUUUGAUGGGUAUCCUUGUGGUUGGCGAUCUUGCUUCUAAGAACCCUUUCCACGAUUUUUAUGAUGUUUGACGUUAGUGCUGUCGGUCUGUUAAUUCUUUAUAAUUGCUUUACUGCCAUGUUUGUGGCAUAUAUAAAUCUACUUUUAUAAAGAUACUCUAAGUACCGGCAAAAAUUUUGUCAGCCAGUUACCAUCGUCGUUACAAGCUACUCAAAUUCAUUCUUGGAAAGAGUUUUUACUCUGUUUACAAAGUCUGAGUUACCUGAUAUUAUUUCUUCCCAGGAGAGAGAGAUUAGAGGAACGUUUUUUUUCCAUAACUGUAAAUAUAUGUAUGAACUAGGAGGUAUAUAAACAUCCUCAGAGGUAUACAAUCUAUUUGUUGCAGAAUAUAAAUUUUGUUUUGGUGCACCAACUAUGUUCUUGUACCCCCCAGUACCAACAAUACCACCAGUCCGAUGACAUUCUUCUUUGCAAAUAUACAGGGUCUAAAGCCAGCAACAAACAACAAAAUACCUUUCAUCCGUGGACUGCUUGCAGAGGCAAAGGCAAUGUUCGCGGCUUUCACUGAGACCCACAUAAAGGAUCACUUGGACAACGAAAUAUGGAUCCCAGGUUACAACCUAUACAGAUGUGACAGAGUGAACAGGCAAAAGGGAUGGGGGGGUUGGCCUGUACAUUGCAGAGUCACUUGUUUGCACAGAACUGCUUAAUGCCUCAAAUGAUGUAGUGGAAGUUUUAGCAGUAAAGGUCGAGAACCAGAACCUAGUCAUUGUGGUAGUCUACAAGCCUCCGGAUGCAACAUCCCAGCAAUUCCAGGAACAGCUGUUAAAAAUUGACCACUGUCUGGAAAAUCUUCCAGCUCCUGCACCCAACAUCUUGCUCCUGGGGGAUUUCAACUUAAGGCACCUAAAAUGGAGGAAU